AAGCGGUGGAUGAUGUGGAUUAAUUCGAUGCAACGCGAAAACCUUACCUACCCUUGACAUGUCCGGAAUCCCGAAGAGAUUUGGGAGUGCUCGCAAGAGAGCCGGAACACAGGUGCUGCAUGGCUGUCGUCAGCUCGUGUCGUGAGAUGUUGGGUUAAGUCCCCGCAACGAGCCGCAACCCUUUGUCAUUAGUUGCCAUCAUUUGGUUGGGCACUCUAAUGAGACUGCCGGUGACAAACCGGAGGAAGGUGGGGAUGACGUCAAGUCCUCAUGGCCCUUAUGGGUAGGGCUUCACACGUCAUACAAUGGUCGGUACAGAGGGUUGCCAACCCGCGAGGGGGAGCUAAUCCCACAAAGCCGAUCGUAGUCCGGAUCGCAGUCUGCAACUCGACUGCGUGAAGUCGGAAUCGCUAGUAAUCGUGGAUCAGCAUGUCACGGUGAAUACGUUCCCGGGUCUU
rnacentral:rRNA from 1 species